rnacentral:rRNA from 1 species
UACAGAGGUCCCGAGCGUUGUUCGGAUUCACUGGGCGUAAAGGGUGCGUAGGUGGCAAGGUAAGUUUGAUGUGAAAGCUCAGGGCUUAACCCUGAAAUGGCAUUGAAUACUACUGUGCUGGAGGUUUGGAGGGGGGACUGGAAUUCUUGGUGUAGCAGUGAAAUGCGUAGAUAUCAAGAGGAACACCAGUGGCGAAGGCGGCUCUCUGGACCGAGACUGACGCUGAGGCGCGAAAGCGUGGGGAGCAAACAGG